rnacentral:miRNA from 1 species
CUAUACAGCUUGCUAACUUUCC